UUACGGCCAUAUCACGUUGAAACCCCGGUUCCCGUACGAUUACCGAACUUAAGCAAUAUAGAGCUUCGUCCGUACGUAUAUGAGCGACCGCCUAAGAAUACCAAGUGCUGUAAG